CUGCCAUACCACUGACAUUUGCCUCUGAUGUCACGCACAAGAGUAAUAAAAUAGGAGACAUUACUUCCAGAGUGGCCCGCUGCUGCUAAAUCAUCUGUCCUACUUGCAUUUGUGUUUUUGGAAAUUUCAAGAUCUUCCUUUUCAAAAUGAGUUUUGAGAAUGGAGCGAGUUCCACCUCUAUCCACAACAGCUUCUUCAUCAUUUCUCUGCAAACAGAAAAAAGUACAGACUUCUUUCCUUAGAAAUAGCUCAUGGAGAAGAAUCAUAGCAGGCAGUCUUCCAGCAGCAGCUACUCAUGUGGAAGUAGCAAGCACAAACAAGAAAGGAGGUCAUGACCAAGUUAUCAGGACCUGUUUCUACAGAAACUGCAACACUAGGAGAGAGGAUUGAGAGGAUUUUUUCCAUUCAUUUAUAGCAAGAAAAGCAUGGCCCAGAGAUUAAACUGGACUCCUUGUGGUUCUUCAGGGGGUGUCUUCUAUAUCAUCUUUCUCCAGAAGAGAAAAAAGAUUGAACUAUACCGAUUAGAGAUCAAAGCUCUCAAA